UACGGAGGGUGCAAGCGUUAUCCGGAUUCAUUGGGUUUAAAGGGUGCGUAGGCGGCGCGGAAAGUUGGGUGUGAAAUCCCUCGGCUCAACCGAGGAACUGCGCCCAAAACUACCGUGCUCGAGGAAGAUAGAGGUGAGCGGAACUUAGGGUGGAGCGGUGAAAUGCGUUGAUAUCCUAAGGAACACCGGUGGCGAAAGCGGCUCACUGGAUCUUUUCUGACGCUGAGGCACGAAAGCUAGGGUAGCGAACGGG
rnacentral:rRNA from 1 species